ensembl:lncRNA
GAGCAUUACAUGCCAUUCUCCUCUUCUCUGAAAUGAACUAGCCAAAAUUUUAAAGAUGCACCUAGUUUCUGCCAUGCCUUUUGUGAAUUUCCCUCCUUUCUUGCUAGUGUAGAUGCUCAGCCCUAUAACAGUAAUCUGAAAGGAAGUAGAAACCCUUCUGUCUUUUCAGGAUGAAUCUUAGUACUUGCUGUUACAAUAAGGUAGACUUGAGGUUCCUCCCCAUGUUGGUGAGGAAAUCUCCCUCCCUCCUUUCUCCUCCUUGCUCCUGACCCAGCAUUUCCUCGAGCAAAAUUAGCAACUACAGCCCCCUAUUUAGAUAGGUGUCCUUGAACCUACAUACAUGCACCCUCCUCCCCAAUUUCUUCUUACUAACAAGCAAUAAAGUGAGGACCAGUGCUUCCAGGAUAACCAUAUGGUUUACUUCCAGCCUCACUAUACAAUUUGGUCAAUAUGUUUAUUACCAAUUCCUGUGGACUUACCUUAAAUUCUGUUAUCAGCUUAUGUGACACUCAUACUUUACCUUUUAGAAGACCUUGUCUCUGUCAAUAACUGAUGUUCACUGCCAAAACAUCUGAGAUAGUUGGAUAUGUGUCCCCGCCUAAAUAUCAUGCUAAAUUGUAAUCACCAGUUUUUGAAGUGGAUCUGGUGGGAGGUGACUGGAUCAUGAGGGUGGGUUUCUCAUGAAUGGUUUAUCACCAUCCUCUUGCUACUGUUCUCAUGGUAGUGAGUUCUCGUGAGAUCUAUUUGUUUCAAAGUGUGUAGCGCCUCUCCCUUCUCGCUCUCUUGCUCCUGUUCUGGCCAUGUGAUGUGCCUCCUCCCCCUUUGUCUUCUGCAUGAUUGUAAGUUUCCUGAAGCCUCCCCAGCAGCCAAGCAAAUGCCAGUAUCACGUUUCCUGUACAGCCUGAAGAAUCAUGAGCCAAUUAAACCUCUAUCUUAAAAUAAACUACCCAGUCUCAGGUAUUUCUUUAUAGCAAUGCAAGAAUGGAACGAUACAACGUCUUACAAGAACUGUGAGGGGUCUAAGAUCUUUACCUAACUUGCAGUAUAACCAGUUAGCCUGCUACAGUUUUAUGGAUGCUGGAAAAGACACAAGACUCCUGGGUGAGACAAAAGACUUUCUCACGGCGGUAACAUUAGACAGACUAUCUGAUUUUUUCCACAGGUUGGAGGAACUCAUGCUCUUACCAGGAGGCAUGAAGGGGUCUAUGUAAUCCCUGCAGAUAUAAUGGGCUUCAAGAGAGGAACUCUACACUUAGAGAAUUUGGUUCUUUUAUAAAAGGAAGCAAGCAUAUGUGUCCUUUGCUCCUGUGGGAGUCAUUAUCUUGUUAGGCUGGGCACCAAGCAAGCCUACUUCCUGUUUCAGAGUGAGAUACUAUGUCUUUCAAGUGUGCUCAUUAGGCAAACAUCCUUGAAAAGACAGUUAAGGGCCCGGUGUGGUGGCUCACGCCUGUAAUCCCAGCUCUCUGGGAGGCUGACUCGGGCAGAUUGCUUGAGCCCAGAAGCUCAAGACCAGCCUGGGCACCAUGGUGAAAGCCUGUCUCUACAAAAAAAAAAAAAAAAA